rnacentral:lncRNA from 1 species
CAUCUGCUUGUGUGUCUAUGUGCAUAUGUGUGCUUGUGUGCGUUUGUGUGCACCUGGAAUCUCAGCACUUUGGGAGGCCAAGGCAGGAGGAUCACAUAAGCUCAGGAGUUUGAGACCAGCCUAGGCAACAUUGUGAGACCACAAUCUCUACAAAAAAAAAAAAAAAAAAGGUUUUAAUUAGCUGGGCUGUGCCCUGGUGGUGGCUGAGGGUCCUGGAGGCGGAAGUGCACAGGGCACAGCAGCUCACCCAGAGAUCAGGCCCCGUUAACCCUCAGCAGGAGAGGGAGGCAGGGGCCGGGGCUGCUCCACCCAAAAUGCCACCCAAGUGCGGCACGGCCCAGGGUGCGGAAGGGACCUGGUGACCAAGGCCGGCAUGUGCCCAGGGUGCGGAGGGGACCAGGUGACCAGGGCCAGCGCGUGAGAAUAACAUGUGUGACCGACACAGGCAGCUGGAGACAGGAAACGCACAGGGGGUCGGUGUCCCUCAGACAGCAGAGACUGUCACGGGCCGAACUGUGUCCCUCAGACAGCAAGGGACUGUCACGGGCCAAACUGUGUCCCUCAAAAAUCCGAACGUGGGAGUCUUAACUCCCCCAGGAUCCCAGCUGUGACUGUAUUUGGAGGUAGGGUCUUAAGAGAGGAGAUUAGAUUAAAAUUAGAUUGUAAAUCAGCAAAUUGUAUCUUAAAUAUAUGAUCUUUAAGUGUCACAAAUACCUUAAUUAAAAAAAAAUAAUUGAGAAGCCA